rnacentral:rRNA from 1 species
CUACGGGAGGCAGCAGUGGGGAAUAUUGGACAAUGGGCGAAAGCCUGAUCCAGCCAUGCCGCGUGAGUGAUGAAGGCCCUAGGGUUGUAAAGCUCUUUCAACGGUGAAGAUAAUGACGGUAACCGUAGAAGAAGCCCCGGCUAACUUCGUGCCAGCAGCCGCGGUAAUACGAAGGGGGCUAGCGUUGUUCGGAAUUACUGGGCGUAAAGCGCACGUAGGCGGAUUGUUAAGUGAGGGGUGAAAUCCCAGGGCUCAACCCUGGAACUGCCUUUCAUACUGGCAAUCUUGAGUCCGGAAGAGGUGAGUGGAAUUCCGAGUGUAGAGGUGAAAUUCGUAGAUAUUCGGAGGAACACCAGUGGCGAAGGCGGCUCACUGGUCCGGUACUGACGCUGAGGUGCGAAAGCGUGGGGAGCAAACCGGAUUAGAAACCCUAGUAGUCC